CCUGAGAAACCCGAAAGAUCGAAUGGGGAGAUUCAUCGUCAGCGACACUGGUACGUGUGCGGUUCGCGAUGCCGGGGACUUCGGUCUCGCGGCACGCGUCCGCAUGUUUUUAUUGCCUGGUGUCGUCGGCGUGCACUUCUCCCCUAGUAGGACGUCGCGACCCGUUGGGUGUCGGCCUACGGCCCGGGUGGGAGCCCGUCUCGUGUGGCGCUUCACGGUGUCACUGCGGGGCGGACCCCCGGUUGCCCGACCGACUGCCCGGCGGUACUCGCAAGGUAUCUGGCCGCAAAUAUUCGAACUGCGUCCGGCCCGUCGCAAGCGAGGCAAGUGCUCCCGAAUGUACGGAUCCAACGCCGUCAUCGGGCCUAGCCAGCUGUUGGUUGACGGUGUCCUAGGACUGGCUGUAGCAAUUAUGAUACCGGUNGGCGACGCUACUGCUUUGGGUACUUUCAGGACCCGUCUUGAAACACGGACCAAGGAGUCUAACAUGUGCGCGAGUCAUUGGGAUCUAUAAGCCUAAAGGCGCAAUGAAAGUGAAGGUCGGCCUCGCGCCGACCGAGGGAGGUAUGGGCCGCGUUACGAUGCGGUCCCGCACUCCCGGGGCGU
rnacentral:rRNA from 1 species